CAAGGACUCCAUAGCCAAUCUUUCUUCACAACUUCAUCAAAGAUUCGAUGGAGUUCAGCGUUAGUUCUUGCAGUCCGACGAACUCCCCUAGUUCGUCGGAAGGUGUAGGUCGUGGCAUGGACUACGACGUUUUUGUACAGCAGAUGAGUGGCGCCGACCCUUAUGCGCCUGGCUAUGCUCCUACAGCUCCCAAUAGCUCACCGGCAGUAAAUAGUGUUCUUCCUAUUCCUGAGGGUCCUGACGUACAGGCCACUUUUGGUUUUUACCCAUCGAGGUGCUGGUAGGAAGUAACCCCUAGAGUUUAUAGUUUAUUAUCCUUACCCUUGGGACCCGAGUCCUCCCGAGAGUUGGGAGGAGUGGUCUAUGGUCAUAGUCGCUUCCCGGUUCCUAGACCAUAUCACAUGGUACGAAGGGGAAUGGCAUCUUGUCUGGGGUGAGUUUACGGGUCCGACGUAUCUCCAGAUCGUGUAAGCAGGAUGCACAGAAGGUCUGUAGGGGUUUAUUCCUUUUGUGUAAAUAUAUUUUGUAGCCAGGGGAGUGACUGAUCUUGGUUAGUGGGGACAUGUAGGGCUUUAAACUUAUGUUGGCCGUUAGGCAAAA